UGGGGAAUAUUGCACAAUGGGCGAAAGCCUGAUGCAGCAACGCCGCGUGAGUGAUGAAGGUCUUCGGAUUGUAAAGCUCUGUCUUUUGGGACGAUAAUGACGGUACCAAAGGAGGAAGCCACGGCUAACUACGUGCCAGCAGCCGCGGUAAUACGUAGGUGGCGAGCGUUGUCCGGAUUUACUGGGCGUAAGGGGUGCGUAGGCGGAUGUUUAAGUGAGAUGUGAAAUACCCGGGCUUAACUUGGGUGCUGCAUUUCAAACUGGAUAUCUAGAGUGCAGGAGAGGAGAAUGGAAUUCCUAGUGUAGCGGUGAAAUGCGUAGAGAUUAGGAAGAACACCAGUGGCGAAGGCGAUUCUCUGGACUGUAACUGACGCUGAGGCACGAAAGCGUGGGUAGCAAACAGGAUUAGAUACCCUGGUAGUCCACGCCGUAAACGAUGAGUACUAGGUGUAGGAGGUAUCGACCCCUUCUGUGCCGCAGUAAACACAUUAAGUACUCCGCCUGGGAAGUACGAUCGCAAGAUUAAAAC
rnacentral:rRNA from 1 species